rnacentral:rRNA from 1 species
GAUGAACGCUGGCGGCGUGCUUAACACAUGCAAGUCGAACGGUGAAGCAGAGCUUGCUCUGUGGAUCAGUGGCGAACGGGUGAGUAACACGUGAGCAAUCUGCCCCUGACUCUGGGAUAAGCGCUGGAAACGGCGUCUAAUACCGGAUACGAGCUGCGACCGCAUGGUCAGUAGCUGGAAAGAAUUUCGGUCAGGGAUGAGCUCGCGGCCUAUCAGCUUGUUGGUGAGGUAAUGGCUCACCAAGGCGUCGACGGGUAGCCGGCCUGAGAGGGUGACCGGCCACACUGGGACUGAGACACGGCCCAGACUCCUACGGGAGGCAGCAGUGGGGAAUAUUGCACAAUGGGCGAAAGCCUGAUGCAGCAACGCCGCGUGAGGGAUGACGGCCUUCGGGUUGUAAACCUCUUUUAGCAGGGAAGAAGCGAAAGUGACGGUACCUGCAGAAAAAGCGCCGGCUAACUACGUGCCAGCAGCCGCGGUAAUACGUAGGGCGCAAGCGUUAUCCGGAAUUAUUGGGCGUAAAGAGCUCGUAGGCGGUCUGUCGCGUCUGCUGUGAAAACCCGAGGCUCAACCUCGGGCCUGCAGUGGGUACGGGCAGACUAGAGUGCGGUAGGGGAGAUUGGAAUUCCUGGUGUAGCGGUGGAAUGCGCAGAUAUCAGGAGGAACACCGAUGGCGAAGGCAGAUCUCUGGGCCGUAACUGACGCUGAGGAGCGAAAGGGUGGGGAGCAAACAGGCUUAGAUACCCUGGUAGUCCACCCCGUAAACGUUGGGAACUAGUUGUGGGGUCCAUUCCACGGAUUCCGUGACGCAGCUAACGCAUUAAGUUCCCCGCCUGGGGAGUACGGCCGCAAGGCUAAAACUCAAAGGAAUUGACGGGGACCCGCACAAGCGGCGGAGCAUGCGGAUUAAUUCGAUGCAACGCGAAGAACCUUACCAAGGCUUGACAUAUAGAGGAAACGUCUGGAAACAGUCGCCCCGCAAGGUCUCUAUACAGGUGGUGCAUGGUUGUCGUCAGCUCGUGUCGUGAGAUGUUGGGUUAAGUCCCGCAACGAGCGCAACCCUCGUUCUAUGUUGCCAGCACGUAAUGGUGGGAACUCAUGGGAUACUGCCGGGGUCAACUCGGAGGAAGGUGGGGAUGACGUCAAAUCAUCAUGCCCCUUAUGUCUUGGGCUUCACGCAUGCUACAAUGGCCGGUACAAAGGGCUGCAAUACCGUGAGGUGGAGCGAAUCCCAAAAAGCCGGUCCCAGUUCGGAUUGAGGUCUGCAACUCGACCUCAUGAAGUCGGAGUCGCUAGUAAUCGCAGAUCAGCAACGCUGCGGUGAAUACGUUCCCGGGUCU